AGUGAACGCUGGCGGUAGGCCUAACACAUGCAAGUCGAACGGCAGCACAGUAAGAGCUUGCUCUUACGGGUGGCGAGUGGCGGACGGGUGAGGAAUACAUCGGAAUCUACUUUUUCGUGGGGGAUAACGUAGGGAAACUUACGCUAAUACCGCAUACGACCUACGGGUGAAAGCAGGGGAUCUUCGGACCUUUCGCGAUUGAAUGAGCCGAUGUCGGAUUAGCUAGUUGGCGGGGUAAAGGCCCACCAAGGCGACGAUCCGUAGCUGGCCUGAGAGGAUGAUCAGCCACACUGGAACUGAGACACGGUCCAGACUCCUACGGGAGGCAGCAGUGGGGAAUAUUGGACAAUGGGCGCAAGCCUGAUCCAGCCACACCGCGUGGGUGAAGAAGGCCUUCGGGUUGUAAAGCCCAUUUGUUGGGAAAGAAAAGCAGCAGGUUAAUACCCCGCUGUUCUGACGGUACCCAAAGAAUAAGCACCGGCUAACUUCGUG
rnacentral:rRNA from 1 species